rnacentral:rRNA from 1 species
CCUACGGGUGGCAGCAGUGGGGAAUAUUGCACAAUGGGGGAAACCCUGAUGCAGCGACGCCGCGUGAAUGAAGAAGUAAUUCGUUAUGUAAAGCUCUAUCAGCAGGGAAGAAAAUGACGGUACCUGAGUAAGAAGCCCCGGCUAACUACGUGCCAGCAGCCGCGGUAAUACGUAGGGGGCAAGCGUUAUCCGGAUUUACUGGUGGUAAAGGGGGCGUAGACGGCAGUGCAAGUCUGGAGUGAAAGGCAGGGGCUCAACCCCCGGACUGCUCUGGAAACUGUACGGCUGGAGUGCAGGAGAGGUAAGCGGAAUUCGUAGUGUAGCGGUGAAAUGCGUAGAUAUUAGGAGGAACACCAGUGGCGAAGGCGGCUUACUGGACUGUAACUGACGUUGAGGCUCGAAAGCGUGGGGAGCAAACAGGAUUAGAUACCCCUGUAGUC